GAGAUAUCCCUGUGGAGUAGAACUUGCUUCAGUGGGACUUUGGUGCUCACUGAGUUUGCCUCUUGAGUGUGUCACU
rfam:Myotis brandtii contig182895, whole genome shotgun sequence.